UACGUAGGGUGCAAGCGUUGCCCCGGAAUUAUUGGGCGUAAGAGCUCGUAGGCGGUUUGUCGCGUCUGCUGUGAAAACUGGAGGCUCAACCUCCAGCCUGCAGUGGGUACGGGCAGACUAGAGUGGCGGUAGGGGAGAUUGGAAUUCCUGGUGUAGCGGUGGAAUGCGCAGAUAUCGAGGAGGAACACCGAUGGCGAAGGCAGA
rnacentral:rRNA from 1 species